CGCGUGAGGUAUGACGACCUUCGGGUUGUAAACCUCUUUCAGUAGGGAAGAAGCGAAAGUGACGGUACCUGCAGAAGAAGCGCCGGCUAACUACGUGCCAGCAGCCGCGGUAAUACGUAGGGCGCAAGCGUUAUCCGGAAUUAUUGGGCGUAAAGAGCUCGUAGGCGGUUUGUCGCGUCUGCCGUGAAAGUCCGGGGCUCAACUCCGGAUCUGCGGUGGGUACGGGCAGACUAGAGUGAUGUAGGGGAGACUGGAAUUCCUGGUGUAGCGGUGAAAUGCGCAGAUAUCAGGAGGAACACCGAUGGCGAAGGCAGGUCUCUGGGCAUUAACUGACGCUGAGGAGCGAAAGCAUGGGGAGCGAACAGGAUUAGAUACCCUGGUAGUCCAUGCCGUAAACGUUGGGCACUAGGUGUGGAGGACAUGCCGCUUCUUCCGCGCGCGUAGCUAACACAUUAAG
rnacentral:rRNA from 1 species